rnacentral:rRNA from 1 species
GAGGGAAAGAAACUAACAAGGAUUCCCCUAGUAACUGCGAGUGAAGCGGGAAAAGCUCAAAUUUAAAAUCUGGCGGUCUUUGGCCGUCCGAGUUGUAGUCUGGAGAAGUGCUUUCCGCGCUGGACCGUGUAUAAGUCUCUUGGAACAGAGCGUCAUAGAGGGUGAGAAUCCCGUCUUUGACACGGACUACCAGUGCUUUGUGAUGCGCUCUCAAAGAGUCGAGUUGUUUGGGAAUGCAGCUCAAAAUGGGUGGUGAAUUCCAUCUAAAGCUAAAUAUUGGCGAGAGACCGAUAGCGAACAAGUACCGUGAGGGAAAGAUGAAAAGCACUUUGGAAAGAGAGUUAAACAGUACGUGAAAUUGCUGAAAGGGAAACGCUUGAAGUCAGUCGCGUCUGCCGGAACUCAGCCUUCCUCUUGGUUGGUGCACUUUCUGGUAGACGGGCCAGCAUCGAUUUUGACCGUAGGAUAAGGGCUGGAGAAAUGUGGCACCUUCGGGUGUGUUAUAGUCUUCAGUCGCAUACUACGGUUGGGAUCGAGGACCGCAGCGCGCCGCAAGGCAGGGGUUCGCCCACUUUCGCGCUUAGGAUGCUGGCAUAAUGGCUUUAAACGACCCGUCUUGAAACACGGACCAAGGAGUCUAACAAACCUGCGAGUGUUUGGGUGGAAAACCCGAGCGCGUAAUGAAAGUGAAAGUUGAGACCUCUGUCGUGGAGGGCAUCGACGCCCGGACCUGACGUUCUCUGACGGAUCCGCGGUAGAGCAUGUUUGUUGGGACCCGAAAGAUGGUGAACUAUGCCUGAAUAGGGUGAAGCCAGAGGAAACUCUGGUGGAGGCUCGUAGCGAUUCUGACGUGCAAAUCGAUCGUCAAAUUUGGGUAUAGGGGCGAAAGACUAAUCGAACAUCUAGAACUGGUCU